rnacentral:lncRNA from 1 species
UCAGGAGAAAAGGACACACAACCUCCAUUUCUUUCCAUCAACAACAUACACAUUGCCACCAUCUUCUCCACUGGAAACAUACACCCAAGGCCAUUACACACAAACUUUCUCCAAUUUUUCUUAUACAGACAGAGCCACACUGAGGUUCACACCAUCGAAAAACACAACACACACCCACAAAAAGGGGAAGAUAAAAAUAGAGAGGUAAUUAAAUAAUAGAUCAAGAUAAAUCUAAAUUUAGAGAGUUAGAUAUGGAGAGAGGGAGAUGGAGAGAAUCAAAAGAGAAAAGGCGAGAGAGAUAGGAAUGCAGAGGGAGACGAAAAAUCCCACCGUUGUUACUGUUCAGGUGAAUUUUUGUCAGAGAAUGACCUGCCACUCCUGAUUUCUAACCAAACUGACCCCCAUACAUUUGAUUCGGGCGAUAUUCCGUCGAUAAUCAUUUGUGAACCAUUGUUCGUCUUUCAUGUCUUUGGAAAACCUACAAAACCCAGUUACCAGAUUGUUAAGCCGGUGUGGGUCUGUCUUUCUCGUGAAAUUAUUAGUUUGUGUAGGUGAUGAAUAGUAAAGGAUAUAUCGAGCUCAUUUGUUCGUGAUUGAGGUUCAAAUUGGGGUUUUUUUUGGACGGAUUCCAUCUUUGAUAUAUCAAUAAUUGAGGUCCAAUUCUAUUCUUUUUCAUCUUUUUAUUUUAUUGUUUAUUACAUUUGAUGUGUUGGAUUGAAUAUAGUGUGUUGUUUGACCCUUAUUAGUGGUGAAUAGUUGCUUGAUGUUGAUUUAUUGUUGGUUCCAUUGGUUAUGUAUUGUGUGAUAAAAAGAUAUCUCGUUUAAGAUUUUAAAUCGAGAUUUUAAAUUGGUAAUUCAAGAAUAAAAGAGGGGUAGGAAUUGAAAAUUAACAAAGGUGAAUAUUGAUUAGUUUGAUUCAUUGAUGGUUAUCCGAUUUGAAAUAAACACUGAUUAUGUUGUUGAACCCGAUAGUGACAUGUUUUAGGCUGAAAUCGAUAAGCAAAUUUUAGGUUUUGGGGUAGGUAACUCAUAGGACUCUAUAUCAUUGAAUGUGUGAAUGUCUGUGUUGAAUGAUUUCUUGAUUUUUAUUAUAUUUCAUCAAAUGUAUUCAUUCGUCAGGGAAUGCCCUGAUGUAUCAUGUACGCAAAAGAGGUUCGUGAUGAAGGCUCGAAGCACUAGGUAAAAGCAUUGGAGCUUAGUCUAGGACUAGUUUAAAAUUGGAUUUAAAUUUUGAUAUUUUUAUUUUUGGGACUGUAUAACUCGGACUGGACAUUAUUUUGGUUUUGAACUUUGAUUGAUUUGUUUGUUGCUUGUUUUAUGUGGCUUAUACAUUCAUAGUAUAAAAUUAACCGAUAUAAUUCACGAAGUAACCAUUAUCGAACCACGAGAUCGAGGGUUGCCUAACACCUUUUCCUCGGUCAAUAGAAUUCCUUAACCGAAAUCUCUGUUCGUGGAUCAAUUUAAAAGAGUCAAAAAUAUUUUGAAAAGAAUUUCCAAAGGUGAUUUAGCACACCUGACUUAUGCCAAGUGACGACUCUGAGUUUUGAAUGAUAAAAGUCCUUUUCGAAACAAAUUUUAAUUUUGUCACCUAAUAAUAAAAAACCUUUCAAUCUUAAAAUGAAUUCAUUUUGGUUGAAAAAAGGGUGUGACAAUGAAUGUUGGUUAUUUUAAUUUGUUGAUGAUUAUUUAAUUUGGAAUAAGUAUUGAUGUUGUUAAACACAAUAGUAUCAUGAUGUCGUUGAAUGCAACUAACCCAGGGAAGUAACUUAGUUUCGGGGCCAUUAACUCAACUAAUUGGUGGAAAGUUUGGAUGAAAAGAUCGGAUAGCUUAAUCAAAAUUCAUGUCAUAAUCAUUAGAGUUGACUAUUAUUUUCAGAUGAGUUUUCUUUUCUCUUUUUCAAAUGCGGACAUUCAUUUUUUCCUCUUUAUUUUUAUUUUCUUUUCUUGAGUCAGUUAUCCAAAUAAAAAUUUAUUAUCAUCUUUCUCUUGUUUUUGAGUCAAGUCCAUGUCAAAACAAAUGAGAAAGGAUUUCAAAACUAGCUAUCAGCUUCUUUAAUUGCACAAAGCAAGAUAAAAAACCAACACAUAAAAAAGAUAUGAUUAUGAGCUGAAAUAAGUCAUACAGAAAGUUUUGUCGAUAGGCAAGUCUGGGAACCCCUGAAAAUACCAAGGUUCAAGAGGUGUAUCUGAGAAAUAUGGAAAAGCAGAGAUAACCGCAUUUAUUUCAGAGUCACUCUUAAUAAUCUGAAUUCGGAUUAAUGAUGCAGCAAGUCAAUGGCAUAUGCUAAUGGUUGGUAGCAAGAUUAAAUGUGAUGGGGGCAAGAGCGAUUCUCGCAAAAGCUAAAGCCAUAACCCAGCCACCGUGUUUUUAAACUUAUAGGCUUUCUUUGUAUGAAACAGGAACACAUGCUACCUUCAAAUCAAGGAUUUCAAAUCCUAAACAAUCAAAGGCCAUAAUUUCUCACUUUUACAAAUACAAGAAGCAAUGUUGCUGCAUAGGUUUGUUAAUCAAAACCACAGUAAACUCAUAAUUCAAUAUCUUUAGGAGACGCAUCUCCUUGUAUGGGUAAUUUAAGUGACAUUUGUAAGGAUAUGCAUUUCCUUGAAAAAUUCAAGUGGAAUUUGUAAUGAGACGCACUUUCUUGUUUGGGUAAUUCAAGCGACAUUUGUAAGCAAAUGCACUUCCUUGUUUGGGUAAUUCAAGCAACAUUUAUAAGGAUACACACUUCCUUGUUUAGGUAUUCAAGUAGCAUAUGUAAGGAGACAUAUUUCCUUGUUCGGGUAAUUCAAGCAACAUUUCUAAGAAGAUGUAUUUUCUUGGGUAAUUCAAGUAGCAUUUGCAAGGAGACGCAUUUCCUUGUUUGAGUAAUUCAAGUGACAUAUGUAAGGAUACACAUUUCCUUGUUCAGGUAACUCAAGAGACAUUUGUAAGGAAACACAUUUCCUUAGGUAAUUCAAGUGGCAUUUGUAAGGAGACGCACUUCCAUGUUUGGGUAAUUCAAGCGGC